GACGAACGCUGGCGGCGUGCUUAACACAUGCAAGUCGAACGAAGAGCGAUGGAAUCUUGCGUCUAUCAAUCUUGGUGGCGAACGAGUGAGUAACGCGUAAUCAACCUGCGCUUCAGAGGGGGACACCAGUAGGAAACGACUGCUAAUACCGCAUACGACCUAUUCUCGGCGUCGGGUGUAGAGGAAAGGUGGCCGCGACAGGUAAGCUAGCACUGAAGGAGGUGAUUGCGGCUGAUUAGUUAGUUGGAGGGGUAACGGAGCACGAAGGCGAGGAUCAGUAGCCGGUCUGAGAGGAUGGACGGCCACAUUGGGACUGAGACACGGCCCAGACUCAUACGGGAGGCAGCAGUGGGGAAUCUUCCGCAAUGGACGAAAGUCUGACGGAGCAACGCCGCGUGAGUGAUGACGGCCUUCGGGUUGUAAAGCUCUGUUAAUCGGGAAGAAAGGCCUUCUUGCGAAUAGUGAGAAGGAUUGACGGUACCGGAAUAGAAAGCCACGGCUAACUACGUG
rnacentral:rRNA from 1 species